AAACACUAGGUGGAGCUACUGUCUUAAACAAGGCAGCGUCUCUUCAAAGCAAGCAAUCAAAGAAAAAAAAUGCUGAGGGUCACCAGAAAUGGCGGACCCGAAGAGACGCAAGAUUGCUAACGAGUGCAGAAAAUUUCAGACUCGGUGGAAAAAUGAAUAUUUUUUUGUAGAAAACAAGGGGAAGUGUGUUUGUUUGAUUUGUAAUGAGAGUGUUGCCGUGAUGAAAGAGUACAAUGUACGAAGGAAUUAUGAAACGAAACAUCAGACCUUCACGUCCUACACUGGCGCUGAGUGGGAAGAGAAGGUGAAGCAAAUGACAGCUAGCCUGCUAACGCAGCAACAGUUUUUUUUCCGUGCUAACAAAGCUCAAGAAAAUGCAACAAUAGCCAGUUAUGAAGUAGCUCAACUCAUUGCCCUACACGGGAAACCUUUCUCAGACGGUGAUUUCAUCUAACAGUGCCUCACUAAAGUCGUGGGAAUAAUGUGCCCGAAGAAAAUGCAGGAUUUCAACAAUGUCAGCAUGCCCAGAAAUACAGUGAAGACUUGUCAAACAACUUAAAACAGCAAGUGUCACAUAAAGCUUGUGUUUUCGAUUUUUACUUGAUUGCGUGUGAUGAGAGCGCAGAUGCCACGGACACUGCACAGUUGAGAGUGCAUGAUACUUUGAGUGGAUGAUACUUUUUGCAUUACGGAGGAACUGCUUGAUCUUCGGAGUCUAAAGAGGACAACAACUGGGAAGGACAUUUUUGAAGCUGUCUCAGAUGCAAUUGACCAGGCUGGACUUCAAUGGGACAAGCUGUGUGGAAUUACAACGGAUGGGGCUCCAGCAAUGACAGGCGAGCGCAAAGGAAUGGCAUCUUUAGUAUGCGCCAAGGUGCGGGAGAGCGGAGGUGAGGCUGUCAAAAUGCACUGCAUCAUCCACCAAGAAGCCCUCUGUGCCAAGACAGUACAGCUUGGCGACGUGAUGAACACAGUUGUGAAAACUGUCAACAUAAUUCGGGCACGAGGGCUUUACCACAGAGAAUUUCAGCAUUCCUCUCUGAUGUCGAUGCUGAAUACGGGGACCUACUCUACCAGUCUGAAGUGUAUUGGCUCAGUCGCGGCUCCGUGCUGCAGCGGUUUUAUUCCCUGAGAUCAAAUAUCGGCAAGUUUUUGAAAGAAAAGGGCAGACCUCUGCAUGAGCUCAGUGACCCUUUAUGGUUGGCAGACCUGGCUUUUUUAGUUUAUCUCACUGAUCAUCUCAACACCCUGAACAAGAGACUACAAGGCAAAGAGCAGCUGGUACCACAGCUGUAUGCACACAUGAAAGCAUUCCGUGCGAAGCUCCGUCUCUCCGAGUCACAACUGCACAACUUUAAUGUAGCGCACUUCCCAACACUGACUGAAAUCAAAUGCGCAUUUCCAAAUGCUAAGCUCUCUGCUAAAAUGGGAGAAUAUGUGUCUGUGAUCACAUCUCUCAUUACAGAAGUCACUCAGCGCUUUCAAGAUUUUUCUGUCAUUGAGAAGGAAAUCACACUGUUUGUGGCUCCGUUUUCGGUGGAUGCAGAAGAAGUGGAGGAGAGUCUGCAAUUAGAACUGAUCGAAAUGCAGUGUGAUGAUUCUCUGAAGAAUCAACAUCAGCUUCUCUCCCUACCUGACUUCUACCGGAGCUUGGAAAAGGCCAAGUUUCCUCUGAUAAGAUGCCACGCAAAACAAAUGAUGAGUCUGUUCGGCUCAACAUACAUCUGUGAGCAGACAUUCUCGCUGUUAACGCUGAUCAAAAGCAGAUUGAGAACCAGAAUGACCGACAGCCUUCUCCGUGACAUCCUUCACAUCUCAACCACCAAACUUACUCCUGACGUGCCAGCUCUCCUUCAGACCAAAGCGCAGCAUCACUGCUCCCACUGAGCGCAACAUUCUUCCCAUUACAGGACAAUGAAGGGGGAUCAGCACCCUAAGAAACAAUCUGAGGCUGUCACUGAGAGAAUGACCUGCCAACCUUUUUAUAAAAAAUAAAAUGAAAAUCUACUAAUGGA